rnacentral:rRNA from 1 species
UGGGGAAUAUUGCACAAUGGGCGAAAGCCUGAUGCAGCGACGCCGCGUGAGCGAAGAAGUAUUUCGGUAUGUAAAGCUCUAUCAGCAGGGAAGAUAAUGACGGUACCUGACUAAGAAGCACCGGCUAAAUACGUGCCAGCAGCCGCGGUAAUACGUAUGGUGCAAGCGUUAUCCGGAUUUAUUGGGUUUAAAGGGAGCGUAGGCCGUCUUAUAAGCGUGUUGUGAAAUGUCGGGCUCAACCUGGGCAUUGCAGCGCGAACUGUGAGACUUGAGUGCGCAGGAAGUAGGCGGAAUUCGUCGUGUAGCGGUGAAAUGCUUAGAUAUGACGAAGAACUCCGAUUGCGAAGGCAGCCUGCUGUAGCGCAACUGACGCUGAAGCUCGAAAGCGUGGGUAUCG